rnacentral:lncRNA from 1 species
AAGACUAACAGAGAUGAUGAAAGACAUAAUAAAAUACAAAUUACCAUUGUGGUAUAAUAAAAAAUAAAUAUUUGGUCUCUGUACCCAGUUCCUGGUACAGGGCUCCUGUCUUCUGUAUGCUAGUAAGAUUGGCUCGUAAGAUCAUUAAGGGAGGCUCCAGGUAGCUUGGGGGUGGGGGCUGGUCACCAGAAGGACCAAGAUGUAAUUAGAGGGUUGGGAGUUUCAAUCCCACUCCCUGACCUCCAGGGAGGUUUAGGGCACCCAGUCUGCUUUAUUUUGUUAUAGCAGCCUCAGCAGACUAACACACCAUUCCUCUGCCUGUUCAGUUGUUUGACUCAAUAACAGAAGCUUCUCACGAGCAUCUCAAAAUUGUUCUCCAUCCUCCUCUAAUCAAUAAGUAGGAUCUGACAAUUGUUUGAAAUCAAGCAAUGAUAUCCUUUGAGUAGUCAAAAUAGCUAUCACAUAUUUUGUAUUUUCUAUGUGCCAGGCACCCUUCCAGGUAUGAAUGUAUUUAAUAAUUACAACAAUCCUAUGAACUAGAUGCUAUUAUUACUCCAUUUCAUAGAAAAGGAAACUGAGGCAUAGUGGUGCUAACUCGCUAACUCAACUAGUAAGUGUGGGGAGAAGG